rnacentral:rRNA from 1 species
AAAUUGAAGAGUUUGAUCAUGGCUCAGAUUGAACGCUGGCGGCAGGCCUAACACAUGCAAGUCGAACGGUAACAGGAAGAAGCUUGCUUCUUUGCUGACGAGUGGCGGACGGGUGAGUAAUGUCUGGGAAACUGCCCGAUGGAGGGGGAUAACUACUGGAAACGGUAGCUAAUACCGCAUAACGUCGCAAGACCAAAGAGGGGGACCUUCGGGCCUCUUGCCAUCGGAUGUGCCCAGAUGGGAUUAGCUUGUUGGUGAGGUAACGGCUCACCAAGGCGACGAUCCCUAGCUGGUCUGAGAGGAUGACCAGCCACACUGGAACUGAGACACGGUCCAGACUCCUACGGGAGGCAGCAGUGGGGAAUAUUGCACAAUGGGCGCAAGCCUGAUGCAGCCAUGCCGCGUGUAUGAAGAAGGCCUUCGGGUUGUAAAGUACUUUCAGCGGGGAGGAAGGGAGUAAAGUUAAUACCUUUACUCAUUGACGUUACCCGCAGAAGAAGCACCGGCUAACUCCGUGCCAGCAGCCGCGGUAAUACGGAGGGUGCAAGCGUUAAUCGGAAUUACUGGGCGUAAAGCGCACGCAGGCGGUUUGUUAAGUCAGAUGUGAAAUCCCCGGGCUCAACCUGGGAACUGCAUCUGAUACUGGCAAGCUUGAGUCUCGUAGAGGGGGGUAGAAUUCCAGGUGUAGCGGUGAAAUGCGUAGAGAUCUGGAGGAAUACCGGUGGCGAAGGCGGCCCCCUGGACGAAGACUGACGCUCAGGUGCGAAAGCGUGGGGAGCAAACAGGAUUAGAUACCCUGGUAGUCCACGCCGUAAACGAUGUCGACUUGGAGGUUGUGCCCUUGAGGCGUGGCUUCCGGAGCUAACGCGUUAAGUCGACCGCCUGGGGAGUACGGCCGCAAGGUUAAAACUCAAAUGAAUUGACGGGGGCCCGCACAAGCGGUGGAGCAUGUGGUUUAAUUCGAUGCAACGCGAAGAACCUUACCUGGUCUUGACAUCCACGGAAGUUUUCAGAGAUGAGAAUGUGCCUUCGGGAACCGUGAGACAGGUGCUGCAUGGCUGUCGUCAGCUCGUGUUGUGAAAUGUUGGGUUAAGUCCCGCAACGAGCGCAACCCUUAUCCUUUGUUGCCAGCGGUCCGGCCGGGAACUCAAAGGAGACUGCCAGUGAUAAACUGGAGGAAGGUGGGGAUGACGUCAAGUCAUCAUGGCCCUUACGACCAGGGCUACACACGUGCUACAAUGGCGCAUACAAAGAGAAGCGACCUCGCGAGAGCAAGCGGACCUCAUAAAGUGCGUCGUAGUCCGGAUUGGAGUCUGCAACUCGACUCCAUGAAGUCGGAAUCGCUAGUAAUCGUGGAUCAGAAUGCCACGGUGAAUACGUUCCCGGGCCUUGUACACACCGCCCGUCACACCAUGGGAGUGGGUUGCAAAAGAAGUAGGUAGCUUAACCUUCGGGAGGGCGCUUACCACUUUGUGAUUCAUGACUGGGGUGAAGUCGUAACAAGGUAACCGUAGGGGAACCUGCGGUUGGAUCACCUCCUUACCUGAAAGAA